rnacentral:rRNA from 1 species
UACGAAGGGGGCUAGCGUUGCUCGGAAUUACUGGGCGUAAAGGGCGCGUAGGCGGCCCGCUAAGUCGAACGUGAAAUCCCCGAGCUCAACUCGGGAACUGCGUCCGAUACUGGUGGGCUUGAAUCCGGGAGAGGGAUGCGGAAUUCCAGGUGUAGCGGUGAAAUGCGUAGAUAUCGUAAGGAAGACCAGUGGCGAAGGCGAAUCUCUGGACAGUUACUGACACUGAGGCACGAAGGCCAGGGAGCAAACGGG